UACGUAGGGGGCAAGCGUUGUCCGGAAUCAUUGGGCGUAAAGAGCGCGUAGGCGGUCCGGUAAGUCGGUUGUGAAAACUGGGGGCUCAACCCUCAGAGGCCGACCGAUACUGUCGGGCUAGAGUCCGGAAGAGGCGAGUGGAAUUCCUGGUGUAGCGGUGAAAUGCGUAGAUAUCAGGAGGAACACCGAUGGCGAAGGCAGGUCUCUGGGCAGUAACUGACGCUGAGGAGCGAAAGCGUGGGGAGCGAACAGG
rnacentral:rRNA from 1 species